CCUACGGGAAGCAGCAGUGGGGAAUAUUGGACAAUGGGGGCAACCCUGAUCCAGCCAUGCCGCGUGUGUGAAGAAGGCCCUCGGGUUGUAAAGCACUUUCAGUGAGGAAGAACGCCUGGUGGUUAAUACCCAUCAGGAAAGACAUCACUCACAGAAGAAGCACCGGCUAACUCCGUGCCAGCAGCCGCGGUAAUACGGAGGGUGCGAGCGUUAAUCGGAAUUACUGGGCGUAAAGCGCGCGUAGGUGGCUUGAUAAGCCGGUUGUGAAAGCCCCGGGCUCAACCUGGGAACGGCAUCCGGAACUGUCAAGCUAGAGUGCAGGAGAGGAAGGUAGAAUUCCCGGUGUAGCGGUGAAAUGCGUAGAGAUCGGGAGGAAUACCAGUGGCGAAGGCGGCCUUCUGGACUGACACUGACACUGAGGUGCGAAAGCGUGGGUAGCAAACAGGAUUAGAUACCCUAGUAGUC
rnacentral:rRNA from 1 species